rnacentral:rRNA from 1 species
UACGUAGGGGCAAGCGUUGUCCGGAUUUAUUGGGCGUAAAGAGCGUGUAGGCGGCCGUACAGGUCAGCUGUGAAAACUCGAGGCUCAACCUCGAGACGUCGGUUGAAACCGUACGGCUAGAGUCCGGAAGAGGAGAGUGGAAUUCCCGGUGUAGCGGUGAAAUGCGCAGAUAUCGGGAAGAACACCCGUGGCGAAGGCGGCUCUCUGGGACGGUACU